rnacentral:rRNA from 1 species
CACGUAGGGGGCAAGCGUUGUCCGGAAUCAUUGGGCGUAAAGAGCUCGUAGGCGGCUCAGUAAGUCGGGUGUGAAACCCUCAGGCUCAACCUGGGGACGCCACCCGAUACUGCUGUGGCUAGAGUCCAGUAGGGGAGUGUGGAAUUCCCGGUGUAGCGGUGAAAUGCGCAGAUAUCGGGAGGAACACCAGCGGCGAAGGCGGCACUCUGGGCUGGUACUGACGCUGAGGAGCGAAAGCGUGGGUAGCGAACGGG